rnacentral:sRNA from 1 species
CUUUUGUCGCCGGCAUGGCUGCCGUGAGGACUUCCACUGAACGAGUUCCGGCUGCGGCUCGGCGUGGUGCGCAUUACCCGUUCCUUGUUGUUUUUCUCGGGGCGGAACACUACGAUGUAAAUCUUCGUCACAAACAAACACAGCAGACACAACGUCCCGUGGACGACCAGCGCGAUGGAAAGGGACAUCACCUUGACGACCUUGUUAUCGGAGAAGGCGUACAGAGGAAUGAACGUAAUCCACAGGAUGAACGAGGUAAAGGAACAGUACAUAAUCUCGUGCGAGUCGUUCAUCCCGUCCGGCAGUUUCCGCGUCUUUAAGGCAAAAACUAAACACGCUAUCAUUAACAGAAAUGACCACCCCAGACUAACAAAGUAACUGAAGUUUCUUAGAUCGAUACACGACCUGUUUCCAAUGGCUGACUCACGUGUAAUGGAGUAGGAGACGACAGUGACCGGGGUAUCGCCGAUAAUCCAAAACACAAUGGCGAAAAGAUGUAGAGCUGAAAGAGUCAAAGUCAUCACGAGGGCCGUCUUCAUCGUACAAAUGUUCCUGUGAAGUAACGGCUGUCCCUGAAUAGUUUUAUUCUUGAUUGAAGAUUGUAAAUCAAACGCUCGAUUAUAGACCAUCAGUUUGGACAGAAUGGACGAGUAGGCUAAGGUGUAACUGAGACCAAGGAAAAUUCUGAAGAAAGCACAGGACGCAGUGGAAGGUUCGCUGACCAGUAUAAAGGGGGAAAUAUAGGACAGGAGUAUACCUACUAACAGUACCAGACUGGUUUCAAACCCUGUAGCCUUCACUAUGGGGGUAGACCGCUUGAACACGAAAACGACGGAUACAAUGGAGCACAGCACGAUUCCCACUGACGACAGCACAAAGAUCAAAAUGACGUAGGGAUUGUCAUACUCAAGGUGCUUGACGGGGAUGGCUACGCAUGCGUUCUGUAAUAGACCGGGUGUCCAUCCGGUGCCACAGGCCUGGCAGUUGUAGGGGUCCGUCUCGUUUACGAUGUCCGUGUAUGGGCACGGCUUACAGUCCCAGCAACAGGUGUCUCUUCGACUUCGGAAAUCGCCGUGUUUACAUGGUAAGGAACAGACUGACGUUUCCUGUUCCGUUCUGUUACCAGAAUUCCAGUAUAGCUUGUCCUCGUUGUCUGAAAUUUAUUAGUCUCCUAUAUGUUUAUCAAAUUAUCAAAAGUUUUUGUGAUCAAUUUAAAGUUGGUAAAUAUU